rnacentral:lncRNA from 1 species
UUUUUUCUUUUUACUAGUUUGCUCAGUUUUAUCAUUGUUUUUUAGGGAAAGGAUCUGCUGACCUCCUUAAUUGGCGACUCUGGAAGUCCUCCUCUGUAAAACCAUCAAAGUUGUACAGAUUAAUUAUACAAACUCAUCCUACUCCUUGGGAGAGGAAGUGGAACCUACCUUGGGUUGUCAAAUCCCCAGGGUAAGGUCACUUUAGCAAAAUGUCGACUUCAGCCUGGAAACUAACUGGAUCUGCAGGAGGAAACCCAAUUGUACAGACCAGAGCACCUGAAUUAGUGGUCCUCUGUACUUGUUUUCUUCCAGUUAUUCCCUAGCCAGGUUUUCUCAAGAGCACUCAAGGAUCAUAUACAUUCCACACAAAAAAAGAGUUCUGUGGUCAACAAUUUGAUUUACACUAAGCUAAACAAAAUCAAAAGGCGUUAACAUCAGGACUUCUCAGAGCUUUUAAUAUGCUGCUGAGAUUUUCUAGGAAAAGAAAAAAUAUGUGUACUGUUUUCUCGACAUUGUGAACAAUGAACACUUUUAACCCCACAGGGCAUUUCAAGGGAUUAAUGGUCUUUGAAACACCCUUUGGUUUUACUUGAAAUUUUCUGCCUGGAUCAGAAAUGCUGAGAUAUUAAGGGAAGAAGUAUGUUCACAACUAUGAUAGCUGUAUGCUUCAACCUUCUAGACACAGGGAAUGGUUGGUAGUGGAAAUGAAUGGAGGAAAUCCCUUAGGGAGGUUAAUUUUAGCAGCCAAUCAGGCUCUCUAAUACAGUGCCCCUGCUCACCAGGAGCAUUUCAUUGGUAACCUUCCAAGCUUCUGUUUUUCUUUAAGGAGGCCUUCCUGCAUGCCUGGCUUAAGUCAGCCUCUUGGAAAAUAAGAGACACGGUAUCUGCCCUCAAGGAGUACAGUUAAGGGUGAGAUAGAGAAAAGUCACAACCCGGGCCUCAGAAGGUGCUGGGGUUACGACCAACAGCACAGUGAACCUGGCCCAAGGCAUUAAAGACUUGGCAAAGACUGAUGUCCAGGCUGGUCCUUGCAGGUCAAAGGCAGCUUAGCCAGGAAAGGCAAGGGGGAAGAGCAUGUGCAAAGGCAGAGAGGCCAGAGGAAACCAUGUUCGGGGAGCUCCAAGUUGCUUACGUAGCUGGGACAUGGGAUGUAGAAGACUGGACAAGUAGUACUAAGGGAGCAAAACGAAGGGGCUUGUGUGGCAUGCUGCUGAGUUUGGAUCUUAUUCUCAGGGUGAAGGGAGAUUAUGAAAGGCUCUUGGAUCUCAGGAUGAUUUACCUUUUAAAAGCUCCCUUGCACAGCAGUGUAGAAAGAGGAUCAUAGAGGUAGAUCAGAAAGCCAGCUCAAAGAGGCCAGUAAGCAUUAACCAGGGCCUGAACAAGGGCAGUGCAGAUGGGCGAGAGGGCAGCAGAGAGUCGAAACCGACAGGGCUGUAUGAAGCAAGAUGCUGGGGCGACGGGGAGAGACGCAGAGGCAGACUGUUGUCAGGCUACUGACUUGAACAAUCGCAGGCAACGGUCCGGCCGCACAAUGGGGGGAACACAGGACAAGGGGCAGGUGUUUGGGAAAGACAUCAUGUAUUCAGGUUUGCACGCAUUCAGCUUGAAAUUGUGAUUAAAAACGUGAGAUGUAAAAAAAAUAAAAAAUAAAAAAUAAAAAAAAUAAAAAUAAAAACGUGAGAUGUUCAGGAGAUGGCUGGAACUGUGGGUUAAGACAUACAGAUUUGACAGGUGUCAGGAUAGAAGUUGUUGAAGCCACAGGUGUGGUGAGGUUGAACAGGGAAUGUGCAGACUGAGCAGCAGACAAAACUGGCAGGGGACUCUCUCUUCCGAACACCUACAGCAUCUGCCUGUAACUCAGAUGGAAUCUGUCACGUGCUGCAACAUUUAGCUUGUACCUAUUGUGCACAAAAAGUAUCCUGCUAGAAGUGAAGGUACAAAGGGGAAUAAAAGAAGGUCCUUUCAUCCACGGAGACUAGGAUGUCGUUGUGGAGAAAGAAUUAUACCCCAGUGAUCAUGCAAAACGAAAUGAAGAGCUAUAAAUAUGCUGAGUGUAGAAGAGGCAAUUAAUUCAAUGGGCGAGAGAACACAGGUUUCUGGAAGAGAGGAGAGCAUCUGAGUUGGGGUGGGAAAAUAAGGGGAUUUCACAAGCAGGGAUGGGGAAAGAAGGCAAGUAAUUUGAGGCUAGAAACUAACAAAGAUCACAGGAGAAUGGAGUGUGGGAAGCAACGGAAAGAGGCUGGUAAUGGUAAGGUGGCUUGAGGCCAGGACCCAGGGAAUCCUGCUGAGGUUUCUCAGGAGUCCAUUUUAAGGAAGGCACACAGGAGCCUAUGUAUAUCCAAGUGCCUGCGAUGUACCGGCUUCAUUUCUGCCUUUUUUUGCUAAUUUCAGAAAUGCCUUUAAGAACAAUCAAUCAUAAACACUACAGGAAACCUACAAGAUCACCACACUGCAUUUCCACUCUGCAAAAACUCUGUUAGUGGAACUUUAAUUACUUGGCUUCGUUAUACAAUUUCCAUUGCAUGUAAGUGUAAAUAAUUUCACUCUAAUGUGCUCAUUUGAAUGUGUGGCUGAAAGCAUUGGUAGAAAUCAGUUUUAUGGCACUUCCUUGGCACACUGAAGGAAAACAAAAUGUAUACUGUUAAUCAAGUCAUGAGUGACUUUCAAAGUGAUGGGUUGCAUAAAGAUAGCAAAUAAUGAGAUAAAUAUUUUAAAGAUUAAAAAUAUUUUAUUUAAACUUUUCUUCAUAAACACUUUUAACAUUUUUUUUCAAUUUAAAAACAGAAUGGAUAGCAUAAACAUGUUUGAAUAGAUUAUAUUCACGGCUUGGGAAAAAUUACCUGACAAAAAUGUAAAGGCUUUCAAAACAGGUAUAAAAGGCAAACCUUAAAUUAUUCUAAGAUUUUUUAAAUCGGCCCUAGGAUUAUUUGACUACUGGCCCAAAAUGUACCUAAAGGUCAAAAUAUUUUUCUAUAGACAAAGUAUGCCCAAGAGGCAGAGGGCAUAUGCGAGUUAGGUAGAAAAUAACCUCUCUGACCACCUCACUGGAACUCUCCUUCAGAAAGCAAACACCUAAUCCUUACUGAUAUACUGAUUAAUAAGGUUUUUAAUGCAGUUGUUCCCAAAGAUGUAAAAUGAAAAUCUAAGAAUAUUAAAGGGGAACAAACCAAGCUGAUGGCAUUCUCUCAGUGUUGCUCGUGUAACACCAAAGUUACACGGGUGUAUGUACUGAAAGGCUAGGACUUCCACAAGCUUACCUAUUCCAGGCUAUGUCUAUUGAAUAUUUGACUUUAUAAACUCUCAAUAAACUAAUUUUUCAGGACUUUAAUUUUUCAGAUAAAUCUCUUUUUAGAAGAUAUUUAUUCCCAAACCAACUCUAAUCUGAUUGAACAAACAUAUCCCUAAAAAUGUUGAGUACAAAAAAAAAAUCAAAAACGUGUAAUAGGCAAAAAAGAAAAAUGGCACUAGCAGUUUUACUGCCAGAGAGCCCUCAGUUAUAUCUAAUUUACACUAUUGUCUAUGUUGUGUUUUACUUCAGUCUGAAACUUUAAAUUACGUAUUCUCAAAAGAGCUAGUCUUUUCUGAGAUAGCUUAUAAACUGAAAUAUCAAUUUAUAUUAUAAACUGAAAUGUUAUGACCUACAACCACAUAUACAUAUAUAAAAAUAGUCCCACUGAACGUUUGACAUGUUUAGAUUAUGCAGCUCAAAUAAUUUGUUAUAAAAUAUUUUAAAGCUUAGUUUCAUGUAAUUAAGACAAAACUCUCCAUUUUUACCACUUCUCUCCACACAAAUGUGUGUGUCCUUUACUAUGACUCGAGCAGGCUUCCCAGAAUGAGGUGUCCAAAGGUGCUGCUUUAGAAAAGAUAAGUGAAGGGCUCAGUCAAUAUUUCACAAAUUAGAGUAACACGCACACAGAUCAGAGUAAUGAGGACACAGAGAAUGCUGUCUCAAGAAAAGCUAAUAAUUCUAUUAAUUAAGCUUUGCUUCUUUUAAAAACCAGUAGUAUUUCUUCCAAUACAAAACCUUCAAUGUGAGAAUCUUGAAUUUUAUGAAAUGGUUGUAGUGCAAGGAUUUUCUUUAAGCAGAUUAAAAUAAAAAACUGAGAAGGUCAAAGACACGGAAGAGAACAAACAUUUCUAAUUAAGAUGUAAUUAACGAAGAUCAGCUAUUUUUGUAAAGUCUGCUGUUUAAAAUAUAAAGUGAAAACACACAAAGAUCACAACAGUUACACUGUAUAGUUUCCAACCUGACUUUUAAAAAAAAAAAAACCACUAUUUUGAGCACAUACAACGUAUAUAAACAAAAAUGGUUCCAAAUGAAGCACACAAAAAUAAACUUGAAAAAAACUUCUAUGAAAAAAUUUUCCAUAGAUUAGUAUAACAAAAAUAAAUCUCUUUCAACAAUUAAACCAUAUUUUUAAAAGGGAAUGUAAGUUAAUCAUGGGUUUAAAAUAACCUAUAUUAGCACUACAUUUAAACAAGAUGAGUUUUCUCAUACAUUCAGAACCCAAGCAAUAGCAACUAUCCUUAAAGCUCAAAACUGAUAACAGCUAACAUCAGGUCAGACAUGACUUACGUGUGAAGCUGAACCCAGAGUUAGUUUCAAGUUAAGAUUUCACAAAUUUUCCAAAACACGAACUUUGAUCUUGGUCUUUGUGUCUUGAGAAAGGAAGACCAAGAAUAUUCAACUGUUUGCCCAGAUCUUACCCUAACUAGGGCUAUGAAGUCAUAUCUAAACAAUUAAAGAGAACCACCACUGGUGUGUGAAAGCGUAAAAGCCUGAUAGGGGUACCCUGUCUCGGUCUUUUCCAGCAAAAGACAACAAUGAGGAAAAUAAUGAAGACGUUAUUGUUAUUUUCUUUAAAGCAAGACAGCACACACACACAAAAACACUAAACCAACUAAUAACAUUAGAAAAACAAUUAAACGGCUAACCUAACUGCUAGUUUUCAAAAGUAAAAUGACUAACAAGGAUUUUUUAAAGGUAGGAAAAGACUUUUACCCAUAUUAACCAUGGGAAAAAAGGUACUGAAUUUUAUUUCUAGAAAGUGAAAGUAAAUGAUAGAACCACUUAAUAAAAAUUUAAGUCUCAUAUACAAAAGAGUAUCAUUAAUUUUAUUUCUAAAAUCAAUGCCAAUGUUUCUUUUUCUCAAAAACUACUUGUGUACCUGACUGUUUCUCAAAUGCCUCCCAGUUCUGGAGUUUUAAAAUCAGGUGUUUUUGUCAUAGUUGUCUAUCUCAAUUAACAACAACAACAACAACAACAACAAAAAACACAAAGCAAAAGUCUUCACAUUUCCAUUUCCAUGACUUCACUCUUCCAUUUUGUGUUCAGUGGUGGCAGCAGCAAAAAAAAAAAAAAAAAAAAAAAAAA